rnacentral:sRNA from 1 species
UUAGCUGGUGGCAUAGCUCCCUCUCUCGGGCGGUGUAAUCACGCAUACCAGUCAUCAGACCAUGCAGAUUGCUUCAGCCCGCUCACCAGCGGGCUUUUUUAU